UCCUGGCUCAGAGUGAACGCUGGCGGCAGGCCUAAUACAUGCAAGUCGAACGGCAGCACGGCAGAGCUUGCUCUGUGGGUGGCGAGUGGCGGACGGGUGAGGAAUACAUGGGAAUCUGCCCAGUCGUGGGGGAUAACGUAGGGAAACUUACGCUAAUACCGCAUGCGCCCUUCGGGGGAAAGCCGGGGACCUUCGGGCCUGGCGCGAUUGGAUGAGCCCAUGUCGGAUUAGCUAGUUGGCGGGGUAAUGGCCCACCAAGGCGACGAUCCGUAGCUGGUCUGAGAGGAUGAUCAGCCACACUGGAACUGAGACACGGUCCAGACUCCUACGGGAGGCAGCAGUAGGGAAUAUUGGACAAUGGGCGCAAGCCUGAUCCAGCCAUGCCGCGUGAGUGAAGAAGGCCCUCGGGUUGUAAAGCUCUUUUGUCCGGAAAGAAAAGCGCCGGGUUAAUACCCUGGUGUCCUGACGGUACCGGAAGAAUAAGCACCGGCUAACUUCGUG
rnacentral:rRNA from 1 species